rnacentral:rRNA from 1 species
GUAGGGAAUAUUGCGCAAUGGACGAAAGUCUGACGCAGCAACGCCGCGUGGAUGAUGAAGCAUUUCGGUGUGUAAAAUCCUGUCGGUGGGGAAGAAAAGUAUGAUGAGUAACUGCUUCAUACCUGACGGUACCCACAGAGGAAGUCCCGGCUAACUCCGUGCCAGCAGCCGCGGUAAUACGGGGGGGACGAGCGUUGUUCGGAUUUACUGGGCGUAAAGGGCGCGUAGGCGGGUCUUCAAGUCGGAUGUGAAAACUACCAGCUUAACUGGUAGCCUGCAUUUGAUACUGUUGAUCUUGAGUACGGGAGAGGAGAGUGGAAUUCCAGGUGUAGCGGUGAAAUGCGUAGAUAUCUGGAAGAACACCAGUAGCGAAGGCGGCUCUCUGGACCGAUACUGACGCUCAAGCGCGAAGGCUUGGGGAGCAAACAGGAUUAGAUACCCUUGUAGUCC